GACGAACGCUGGCGGCGUGCUUAACACAUGCAAGUCGAACGGAAAGGCCCUGCUUUUGUGGGGUGCUCGAGUGGCGAACGGGUGAGUAACACGUGAGUAACCUGCCCUUGACUUUGGGAUAACUUCAGGAAACUGGGGCUAAUACCGGAUAGGAGCUCCUGCUGCAUGGUGGGGGUUGGAAAGUUUCGGCGGUUGGGGAUGGACUCGCGGCUUAUCAGCUUGUUGGUGGGGUAGUGGCUUACCAAGGCUUUGACGGGUAGCCGGCCUGGGAGGGUGACCGGGCACAUUGGGACUGAGAUACGGCCCAGACUCCUACGGUAGGCAGCAGUGGAGAAUAUUGCACAAUGGGCGGAAGCCUGAUGCAGCAACGCCGCGUGCGGGAUGACGGCCUUCGGGUUGUAAACCGCUUUCGCCUGUGACGAAGCGUGAGUGACGGUAAUGGGUAAAGAAGCACCGGCUAACUACGUG
rnacentral:rRNA from 1 species